GCUCUUAUCAAAAUAGAAUAACUUAACCAAAGAUAAAUACAGAAGUGGCACCAACCCUCUAACCUGAUGUGUCUAGACAGAAGUGAUCUACAUGUAG